rnacentral:rRNA from 1 species
AGCGUACACGGUGGAUGCCCUGGCAGUCAGAGGCGAUGAAGGACGUGCUAAUCUGCGAUAAGCGUCGGUAAGGUGAUAUGAACCGUUAUAACCGGCGAUUUCCGAAUGGGGAAACCCAGUGUGAUUCGUCACACUAUCAUUAACUGAAUCCAUAGGUUAAUGAGGCGAACCGGGGGAACUGAAACAUCUAAGUACCCCGAGGAAAAGAAAUCAACCGAGAUUCCCCCAGUAGCGGCGAGCGAACGGGGAGGAGCCCAGAGCCUGAAUCAGUGUGUGUGUUAGUGGAAGCGUCUGGAAAGGCGCGCGAUACAGGGUGACAGCCCCGUACACAAAAAUGCACAUACUGUGAGCUCGAUGAGUAGGGCGGGACACGUGGUAUCCUGUCUGAAUAUGGGGGGACCAUCCUCCAAGGCUAAAUACUCCUGACUGACCGAUAGUGAACCAGUACCGUGAGGGAAAGGCGAAAAGAACCCCGGCGAGGGGAGUGAAAAAGAACCUGAAACCGUGUACGUACAAGCAGUGGGAGCCUCUUUUAUGGGGUGACUGCGUACCUUUUGUAUAAUGGGUCAGCGACUUAUAUUCUGUAGCAAGGUUAACCGAAUAGGGGAGCCGAAGGGAAACCGAGUCUUAACUGGGCGUUAAGUUGCAGGGUAUAGACCCGAAACCCGGUGAUCUAGCCAUGGGCAGGUUGAAGGUUGGGUAACACUAACUGGAGGACCGAACCGACUAAUGUUGAAAAAUUAGCGGAUGACUUGUGGCUGGGGGUGAAAGGCCAAUCAAACCGGGAGAUAGCUGGUUCUCCCCGAAAGCUAUUUAGGUAGCGCCUCGUGAAUUCAUCUCCGGGGGUAGAGCACUGUUUCGGCAAGGGGGUCAUCCCGACUUACCAACCCGAUGCAAACUGCGAAUACCGGAGAAUGUUAUCACGGGAGACACACGGCGGGUGCUAACGUCCGUCGUGAAGAGGGAAACAACCCAGACCGCCAGCUAAGGUCCCAAAGUCAUGGUUAAGUGGGAAACGAUGUGGGAAGGCCCAGACAGCCAGGAUGUUGGCUUAGAAGCAGCCAUCAUUUAAAGAAAGCGUAAUAGCUCACUGGUCGAGUCGGCCUGCGCGGAAGAUGUAACGGGGCUAAACCAUGCACCGAAGCUGCGGCAGCGACACUGUGUGUUGUUGGGUAGGGGAGCGUUCUGUAAGCCUGUGAAGGUGUGCUGUGAGGCAUGCUGGAGGUAUCAGAAGUGCGAAUGCUGACAUAAGUAACGAUAAAGCGGGUGAAAAGCCCGCUCGCCGGAAGACCAAGGGUUCCUGUCCAACGUUAAUCGGGGCAGGGUGAGUCGACCCCUAAGGCGAGGCCGAAAGGCGUAGUCGAUGGGAAACAGGUUAAUAUUCCUGUACUUGGUGUUACUGCGAAGGGGGGACGGAGAAGGCUAUGUUGGCCGGGCGACGGUUGUCCCGGUUUAAGCGUGUAGGCUGGUUUUCCAGGCAAAUCCGGAAAAUCAAGGCUGAGGCGUGAUGACGAGGCACUACGGUGCUGAAGCAACAAAUGCCCUGCUUCCAGGAAAAGCCUCUAAGCAUCAGGUAACAUCAAAUCGUACCCCAAACCGACACAGGUGGUCAGGUAGAGAAUACCAAGGCGCUUGAGAGAACUCGGGUGAAGGAACUAGGCAAAAUGGUGCCGUAACUUCGGGAGAAGGCACGCUGAUAUGUAGGUGAAGUCCCUCGCGGAUGGAGCUGAAAUCAGUCGAAGAUACCAGCUGGCUGCAACUGUUUAUUAAAAACACAGCACUGUGCAAACACGAAAGUGGACGUAUACGGUGUGACGCCUGCCCGGUGCCGGAAGGUUAAUUGAUGGGGUCAGCGCAAGCGAAGCUCUUGAUCGAAGCCCCGGUAAACGGCGGCCGUAACUAUAACGGUCCUAAGGUAGCGAAAUUCCUUGUCGGGUAAGUUCCGACCUGCACGAAUGGCGUAAUGAUGGCCAGGCUGUCUCCACCCGAGACUCAGUGAAAUUGAACUCGCUGUGAAGAUGCAGUGUACCCGCGGCAAGACGGAAAGACCCCGUGAACCUUUACUAUAGCUUGACACUGAACAUUGAGCCUUGAUGUGUAGGAUAGGUGGGAGGCUUUGAAGUGUGGACGCCAGUCUGCAUGGAGCCGACCUUGAAAUACCACCCUUUAAUGUUUGAUGUUCUAACGUGGACCCGUGAUCCGGGUUGCGGACAGUGUCUGGUGGGUAGUUUGACUGGGGCGGUCUCCUCCUAAAGAGUAACGGAGGAGCACGAAGGUUGGCUAAUCCUGGUCGGACAUCAGGAGGUUAGUGCAAUGGCAUAAGCCAGCUUGACUGCGAGCGUGACGGCGCGAGCAGGUGCGAAAGCAGGUCAUAGUGAUCCGGUGGUUCUGAAUGGAAGGGCCAUCGCUCAACGGAUAAAAGGUACUCCGGGGAUAACAGGCUGAUACCGCCCAAGAGUUCAUAUCGACGGCGGUGUUUGGCACCUCGAUGUCGGCUCAUCACAUCCUGGGGCUGAAGUAGGUCCCAAGGGUAUGGCUGUUCGCCAUUUAAAGUGGUACGCGAGCUGGGUUUAGAACGUCGUGAGACAGUUCGGUCCCUAUCUGCCGUGGGCGCUGGAGAACUGAGGGGGGCUGCUCCUAGUACGAGAGGACCGGAGUGGACGCAUCACUGGUGUUCGGGUUGUCAUGCCAAUGGCACUGCCCGGUAGCUAAAUGCGGAAGAGAUAAGUGCUGAAAGCAUCUAAGCACGAAACUUGCCCCGAGAUGAGUUCU